AUUGAACGCUGGCGGCAUGCUUUACACAUGCAAGUCGAACGGUAACAGGCCUUCGGGUGCUGACGAGUGGCGAACGGGUGCGUAAUGCAUCGGAACGUACCCAGAGGUGGGGGAUAACGCAGCGAAAGCUGUGCUAAUACCGCAUGUGAUCUGAGGAUGAAAGCGGGGGACCGCGCAGCAAUGUUUGGCCUCGCGCCUUUGGAGCGGCCGAUGUCGGAUUAGCUAGUUGGUGGGGUAAAGGCCUACCAAGGCGACGAUCCGUAGCUGGUCUGAGAGGACGACCAGCCACACUGGGACUGAGACACGGCCCAGACUCCUACGGGAGGCAGCAGUGGGGAAUUUUGGACAAUGGGCGCGAGCCUGAUCCAGCAAUGCCGCGUGCGGGAAGAAGGCCUUCGGGUUGUAAACCGCUUUUGGCAGGAACGAAACGGUGUCCGCUAAUACCGGGCGCUAAUGACGGUACCUGCAGAAUAAGCACCGGCUAACUACGUG
rnacentral:rRNA from 1 species